CCGAGUUAACAAACUCCCAAACCCUAUGUGAACAUACCCAGUUGCUUCGGCGGUACCGCCCCGGCGCCCUCGGGCCCGGGCCAAGGCGGCCGCCGGGGACCUACAAACUCUUGCUUCAGCGGGCUCGCCCCGCGGGAAUUAUCUGAGUCAAAAACAAAACAAAUAA
rnacentral:misc_RNA from 1 species